rnacentral:tRNA from 1 species
AGAGAUUUAGGCUAAAAAUAGACCAAAAGCCUUCAAAGCUUUAAGCAGGAGUGAAAAUCUCCUAAUCUCUG